CAGCAGCCGCGGGAAUACGUAGGUGGCAAGCGUUGUCCGGAAUUAUUGGGCGUAAAGGGCUCGCAGGCGGUUUCUUAAGUCUGAUGUGAAAGCCCACGGCUCAACCGUGGAGGGUCAUUGGAAACUGGGAAACUUGAGUGCAGAAGAGGAGAGUGGAAUUCCACGUGUAGCGGUGAAAUGCGUAGAGAUGUGGAGGAACACCAGUGGCGAAGGCGACUCUCUGGUCUGUAACUGACGCUGAGGAGCGAAAGCGUGGGGAGCGAACAGGAUUAGAUACCCGAGUAGUCCCUGUCUCUUAUAC
rnacentral:rRNA from 1 species